rnacentral:lncRNA from 1 species
GCUCCCUUCGCAACGCCAAAAUCGCAUUGACGGUGAAAUCCGAGACUGUGGACCACCAGACCAUUCCGCUCAGAUGGUUGAGAGGUUGAGGUCCGAAUAUAACGUGCAACAUCCAAUAAAAAGCAUCAGCGGCUCUAAUGCCAAGUGCAUCCAAGAGUUAUCAGAGCAUGCAGGACCAGAGGCAUGCCUCGCCUCAGUCGUUGCAUUAGCUGUAAACCAAGCUGCGUGGCGACAAAGACGCGUCGUUUGGGUGGCCAGCACGAGCAGCAGCAUCAGCCACCAGCCACCAUCCGGCCACCCCCUUCUAGGUCCCGAUACGUCCAGCAAUUAAAUAUAAAAUAUAAAAGCAAUGC